CGGAGCGCAGCGUAGACACGUUUCCACUGGCGCAGGCCACCACCCACUUUCUGCAGAAGAUACACAGAGAGGAGGGGAAAGAGAAGAGUUUUUGUCUAUCUUCUUCUUGAAGGGACCCGAUACCUUCAUUUUCAGAGCCCCCCUUUCAAAUUCAUAGGAUCAUGGGCUUAGAAAUUUAGAAGAGAACUCAGAAAUUAUCAAGUCCAAUCUGUACUUUUUAAUGGCUGAGGAAGCCGAAGUUCAGAGAGGGAAAGUGAGUAACUUGUGCAAAAUCACACAAACAAAUAGCAGAGGUCACCUGACUCCAGACCAAGCCAAUACUCUCCACUGUACCACCUGCCUCUCCAAUUCAGCAGGUUCUAAUCUACAGUAGUGGAUUCCAUAAAGGAACGGAACUGAUAUUUUUUAUCAUCUUAGACUUCCCAAAGGGAAAAACUCUAAGAGUUCUUUCCCCUAAGGGAUUAGCAAAAGGGGGACUGACUACAAGGGUUGGAAAAUAUCCCCUUCCUGACCUCAAGAGGCAUGUCCUCAUUUUGUUUAAUAUCAUAACAUGAUUUGCUCCAAUUCAGCAGAUUAUAUGUGGAGAAUAGAAAUCAGAGGGGUUCUCUGUGCAAUCACAAAAUAUUCUGAGUUAUCCUUUGGAAACUUAAUUUCCUUAUACACCCAAUCUGUGGAAAGGAGAAGAUCUGCAUUUGAUGUACAAAACGGGACUCAACAGGAAGGACAGCAUGAAAA